ACGACCAGGGCAUUGGAAUCAUCAUUGAUUGUCAAACUUUUCUUCUCUCCAACAAUCAAUUCCACAGUCCAAACUUCUAGUGUAGAGGAAUAAUUGCCUUCAAGUACAUAUUAACAACAUUUGGUGGUCUAUGUCUAUACUGAGGUACGCAAAAGCUAAUUGAUAAGUUGCAAUGGCAGCAAAAGAUGACAAUUCUAACGAUGUCAGUGGGGACUGUGGGAGGCUUUAUCUGGCUGCGCUGAAAGGUGAUUGGAAAUCUAUUGAGGGCAUGACAAACAUUCAAAGAAGUAUUAGUAGGAACGAAGAAACCACUCUUCAUGUUGCUGCUGCAGCAAACCAGGAAGACUUUGUGAAGAAAUUAUUGACAUGGAUGGCAUCAAAUAACUACAGCCUAACAGCUGAAAACGAUGUUGGGAACACUGCCUUGACCUACGCUGCUGCAGCUGGAAAUGUGAAUAUUGCCGAGAUGAUGCUAGAGAAAAAUUCUGAGCUGCCAAACCUAGGUAGAGAGGUGAAACCACUCUCUAUGGCUGCUUCCUUAGGACACAGUCAAAUGGUGGAACUUCUUUAUCGUAAGACUAGGAUAGAUAGCUUGAGUACUAGUGAACAGAUUGAUAUAUUUAUCAAUUGUGUUAGAAAAGACUUAUACGAAGUAGCCUUGCAAAUGCUGGAUAAGAACUCCAAUUUAACUACCGCUACAAACUCGGAUGGAGAGACUGCAUUGCAUGUGUUAGCUAACAAGCCUUCUGCAUUUGUUAAUGAAAGUCAGCUGGGAGUUUUGAGGAGACACAUCAAUAUUCCAUGGUUGAAAUCAAAACAGGAAAACUCAAAGCAUUCUCAAGUCAAUGAAUUGUUAAAAAAAUGUCUUCAGGGUUACAGAGGCGAUGUUGAGAAUUCAAACGAAACCUCAGUGAUUUCAUAUGUUCUGUUUGAAGCAGCAGAAGUAGGCAACAUCGAGUUCUUGGUUAAGCUUAUUUGUUUUAACUUUGAUCUCUUAUGGAAAAGAAUAGACAGAAAAAGCAUAUUUCAUAUUGCUGUUGAGAAGCGCCACGAAAGCAUCUUCAAAUUACUUAAUGAGAUAGGCUCAAUUGGAGAUCUAAUAGUCGGUAGACCAUUUGAAGAUAGUAGCAACAUAUUGCAUUUAGCUGCAAGAUUGGCACCUCAAGAUAAGCUCAAUGCUAUAUCAGGAGCAGCUCUUCAAAUGCAACUAGAACUAUUAUGGUUCAAGGAGGUGGAAAAGGCCGUAAAUCCUGCAUUCAAAGAAAUGAAAAAUACGAAAGGGGAAACACCAUAUGUUUUAUUUGCAAAAAACCAUGAGAACUUAAGGAAGGAAGGAGAGAAGUGGAUGAUGAACACAGCUCAAUCAUCUAUGGUGGUUGCUACACUAAUUGGCACUAUAGUGUUUAGUGACCAAGCAGCUGAUAAAUCAAACCGUAGUCCUAAACUUUUUCUGACCUAUUCAAUUUCAAGUGCAAUAGCAUUAUUUGGUUCAUCAACAUCCCUAAUAAUGUUUUUAUCCAUUCUUACCUCACGUUAUUCAUACGAAGACUUUGUUGUGUGGUUACCUAUUAGGUUGAUGAUUGGAGUCACUUCACUUUUCAUCUCAAUUGCCGCCAUGAUGGUCGCAUUUUCUACAUCCUUUUGGUUGAGGAAUCUUAAUCAUCAGGAAUUGUCAUUGUUUUUUGUUCUCAUUGGUUUAUUUGCUUGUGUACCAAUCUUAUACGUGUUGCUCAAGUAUCGCCUAUUAGUUGAUAUACUUCGAUCUACCUUCUUUCAGUUUCAGCCACAACAUCUACUUUUGAAGGCGUCUUAGGCCCCACUGUGUAGUGGGAAUCCAACACCCGCUGCAUAGAGCUAGCGUGCAACAUAGCUAUUGUUAAGUUUUUAGCAAUGUGUUAACUUGUGCUAGUUUUGAAGCUGCGCAAUAGUAAGCAAACAUCAAGAGACUUAUGGUUAUGGUUUAGUUGCUUUCCACGGAUUUACCAUGCGGAGAACUUGGAUUCGAACCCCUCCCCCUUGUAAACAAACAUCAAGAACUUUUUUACGUUGUAAGUGUAAAAAAGAAGAAAAAAAAGAGAGAAAAAAAUUGGAAAAUUAAAGAGGAUUAUAUAUGUAAAGUCAAACUUGUA